UACGUAGGAUGCAAGCGUUGUCCGGAUUUAUUGGGCGUAAAGAGUUCGUAGGCGGUUCGUUAAGUCUGAUGUUAAAGACUGGGGCUCAACCCUGGAAGUGCAUUGGAUACUGGCGGACUUGAGUGUGGUAGAGGCAAUCGGAAUUCCAGGUGUAGCGGUGAAAUGCGUAGAUAUCUGGAAGAACACCGGUGGCGCAAGCGGAUUGCUGGGCCAUAACUGACACUGAGGAACGAAAGCUAGGGGAGCGAAUGGG
rnacentral:rRNA from 1 species